UUGUACUAACCAAAAGAUGAUAGAAGAAUUUAAGAAAAGUAUGAUGAAGGACUUUGAAAUGACGGAUUUGGGCCUCAUGAGAUAUUUUUUUUGGGGAGUGGGGGCAGCAGCAGCAACUCAAAGGAAGCUGUUCGUAUAUUGAAUACAACCGAUCAUGUUGAACUCCCCAUCAACAGGUACUCGGCGAUUACCAAUCUCGGCUUUUCCCUUGGAUGCACUGCCGAGGUUCUCUA
rnacentral:lncRNA from 1 species